AGAUAUGUAUAGGGGGAAGGAGACAGGGAUACUGGAGUGAUGGAGGUAGAUAUGUAUAGGGGGAAGGUGACAGGGAUACUGGAGUGAUGGAGGUAGAUAUGUAUAGGGGGAAGGUGACAGGGAUACUGGAGUGAUGGAGGUAGAUAUGUAUAGGGGGAAGGAGACAGGGAUACUGGAGUGAUGGAGGUAGAUAUGUAUAGGGGGAAGGUGACAGGGAUACUGGAGUGAUGGAGGUAGAUAUGUAUAGGGGGAAGGAGACAGGGAUACUGGAGUGAUGGAGGUAGAUAUGUAAAGGGGGAAG